UGAUAUUUCAUUACUUGUCCAGUGGUGCCUAUUUUAGAUGUAAUUAGAGUUCGCACAGGUCAGCGAGGAGAGGAGGCGGAGAAGAUGGCUGGUGGGCAUUCUGAUAUGAUCUCUACCAUCCCAAGUAAUUGAGAUGCGACUUUAGAUUUGUAUGCCCAGCAUCUUGCCUAUUUCUAAUUCUUGACUAUAAAUUGUAUAUUUAACUCUUGAAAUGGAAUUGCAUUCUAUCUCC